AGAUUAAACUGAAGAGUUUGAUCCUGGCUCAGAUUGAACGCUGGCGGCAUGCCUUACACAUGCAAGUCGAACGGCAGCACGGAGCUUGCUCUGGUGGCGAGU
rnacentral:rRNA from 1 species